CCUACGGGUGGCAGCAGUGGGGAAUAUUGGACAAUGGGCGAAAGCCUGAUCCAGCCAUGCCGCGUGUGUGAAGAAGGCCUUCGGGUUGUAAAGCACUUUCAGUGGGGAAGAAAGCCUUGGGGCUAAUACCCUCGAGGAAGGACAUCACCCACAGAAGAAGCACCGGCUAACUCCGUGCCAGCAGCCGCGGUAAUACGGAGGGUGCGAGCGUUAAUCGGAAUUACUGGGCGGAAAGCGCGCGUAGGCGGUCUGAUAAGCCGGUUGUGAAAGCCCCGGGCUCAACCUGGGAACGGCAUCCGGAACUGUCAGGCUAGAGUGCAGGAGAGGAAGGUAGAAUUCCCGGUGUAGCGGUGAAAUGCGUAGAGAUCGGGAGGAAUACCAGUGGCGAAGGCGGCCUUCUGGACUGACACUGACGCUGAGGUGCGAAAGCGUGGGUAGCAAACAGGAUUAGAUACCCGUGUAGUC
rnacentral:rRNA from 1 species